rnacentral:lncRNA from 1 species
GAAACAGUGUCGUUCCAGGUGCUAUAUAAAACCAAUUUUUUUGGCCAAAAUCCAUUUGUUCUGCCAUUUUUUCAAGAAAGACUAACAGCCCCUUCCCUCCCAAAUCUCUGCUAGGGUUUGAACCCUAUCUUGGUGCGUCGCAAAUGGAGGGUCAUCGGCAUUUCUAUGCCUCCGUCUCCGACGCCGAUCACGGCGUGAACCAGGGUGAGUCUCCUUUUCUCUUCUUUUUUUAAAAAAAAAAAACAGUUUAUAAAAUCGAUAGAGAGGAAAAAACAAACUUUAACCGAAAAUCCAAAGAAAAGAAACAAAAAAAACUCCUCUUAAGACUGUAAAUGGACUUUUGUUGAUGUUCUAUUGCUUGUGUAUUCUGCCGUGAAGGAAAAAAAACGUCCAUUUUACAAUUGCUUUGUUUCAGUUUUAUAGCCGACUCUUUUACAAUCUAUUCUACACGUUUGUAGGUUCCUAGGCGGGUACGCCUCUAACAUGGCUUGGUGAAGGGGCGUACGACUCGGAGGAGGCGCGCGACGUGCGGCGGAGGCACGAGCAGCAGAUUGCCUGGGGUUUUCACUUUGCUGGAAAAAAGUUUAAGUUAUUGUAGUCUAUUUUUUGUAUUUUGGGCUCAAAACUGGACUGUUUGGCUUUUUGGUUUGGGAGUUGUGUUUAAUAAAUUGUAUUUUGGGCCGGGUAAAAAUUGAGUCCAACAAUGACUAUAUAAAAACUUUUAAUAAAUAAAAAAAUAUAUAAAAUUUUAUUAAAUAUUAAAAUAAUAUAAUAUAAAUUUUUAAAAAAUAAUAAAAAAUAAUACGAGUGGGCCUAAAAUAGGCUUAGGUUAGACUUUUGCAAAUAUGGGUAGGUGUAGAGGUGUUCAUGGGUCGGGCUAUCCGGCCCGAAGGCCUGCCCAAAAUGUAGGAGGGUUUGGAUAAAAAUAUAAGCUUGAAAAAUAGGAUUGGAUAAAAAAUAAGGCCCGUUUAAAAAAUGGGGCGGGCCUCGAGUAAGGUAUUUUUAGCCCCGGCUCAGCCUGAAUUUACUAAAGGACAAAAAUGAUUUGCAAUUUUUUUUAUAUUUUUUAAUGUUAUUUUUUUUAUUGUUUUCUCCAUGUGUUGCUACAAUUUUACUAUUAUGUUGCUAUUAUUUUGUUGUUAUUGUUUGGAUAUUGUAUAAAACUUAUUUUAUUGUUAAUUUUCUUAUUAUUUUAAAGGCAUUUGCUUGUUAAGUUG